rnacentral:rRNA from 1 species
UGAGGAAUAUUUGGUCAAAUGGACGCAAGUCUGAACCAGCCAAGUAGCGUGCAGGAUGACGGCCCUAUGGGUUGUAAACUGCUUUUAUAUGGGGAUAAAGUGGGGAACGUGUUCCCUUUUGCAGGUACCAUAUGAAUAAGGACCGGCUAAUUCCGUGCCAGCAGCCGCGGUAAUACGGAAGGUUCGGGCGUUAUCCGGAUUUAUUGGGUUUAAAGGGAGCGUAGGCCGUUUGGUAAGCGUGUUGUGAAAUGUAGGAGCUCAACUUCUAGAUUGCAGCGCGAACUGUCAGACUUGAGUGCGCACAACGUAGGCGGAAUUCAUGGUGUAGCGGUGAAAUGCUUAGAUAUCAUGAAGAACUCCGAUUGCGAAGGCAGCUUACGGGAGCGCAACUGACGCUGAAGCUCGAAGGUGCGGGUAUCGAACAGGAUUAGAUACCCUGGUAGUCCGCACAGUAAACGAUGGAUGCCCGCUGUUAGCACCUAGUGUUAGCGGCUAAGCGAAAGCAUUAAGCAUCCCACCUGGGGAGUACGCCGGCAACGGUG